CUUUCCUGUAGGAGCCAGGAAGA
rnacentral:miRNA from 1 species